CUGUGCUCUGUCUCCACGGCGGAGUACUUCACGAAAGGAGCAGUUGGUAGCACAGCUUUCGCAUCAAAAUAGGGAUGGGCUGACAUUACAGAUGGUGUCUUGUAGCCAUGCAGACAGUCCCAGGUCAGCAUCUGAAGCAGUUCCUGGAUGAAGUGGGACCUUUUCCCGGAAACACCUUCUCUGGUGUAAAACUCAACAGGAAACAAGUGGAUGAUGAUGACUUCCAAAAAGUGAAAGAUAAACUAAUCAAUGGCUUCUGUGACAACCUCACCACACAGUUUGGCAACCCUGAAGGCCGCUGCUGCCAUGUUUGACCUAAGCAACUGGCCUGAAGACAUCACUGACCUGGCCACCUUUGGCCUGGCCGAUGUUGAGACUUUUGUCACUCACUUUCAGAAAACUGAUGGGUUACAGGGAGCUGUGUGGAACACUGUAUUCCCGAAAAAGCCAAAUUAACUCAGAUCUGUCAUUUUUUAGAACUCAGCUAUUAGGGUUUCCAAUGCUUUUUUCCUGUUUUUGACAACAGUGGUUGAAUUAAAAAUCAAUAUGAAAAGGAAACAUGUCCUUAUGUUGUGUUUUCACCACCACUGGUAGGCUGAAUUCUCAUCACGAGUGAAUAAAGCAGCUAACUCUGAAUCAAUCUACUCAAAUUUUUUAAGUUCAAAUAACUCAUGUUUUUCUUAGUAUGCCAUUUUGAGGAAAUGAGAUUCCCAUGAUCCUUUGCUAAAGAAAAUAAUAACAUACAAGAGUGAAAAGAAAGCAUCAGAAUUCUUUAAUGUUGAAAUAAUGAUUGAUAUCUGGAUGUUGCAAUAGGUGCAUAAUUAAUAGACUAGAUUGUGACUAUGUGUGGCCGUGCUAAUGUUGUACUGUGAGGGGACAGCAGUUAACAUUGACUGUCUGUUAACUUAUUUUGUUUGUUUGUUUAUUUGUUGUUGUUUUUUGUUAUU